UUCCCAAUUCAAAUUGUAACUGUAUUGUCGUCCAAAACAAAAAUAAAAAACAAUUCCAAAACCAGAACCGAAAUAACUAUAUAAGCCUCAGUUGUUUCCGAGAGUAAUUGAUUCAAGAAUUCCGUCUUCCCUUCCUUGCUUUCAGCCGACGCUCUCUCCCUGAUAUUGAGUUUCUGUGGAACUUUCUUGUCACACAGGAUUCCUGAUGCAAGCCUCCACUUUGACCAC
rnacentral:lncRNA from 1 species